AAAACAAAAUCUCCAAAAAUAAUCGCCAUGACUCAUCAAUCUCAGCAAGAAAAAUCCACAACUAAAGAAGAAGAAAAGGCGAAGCAGAAUCUUACUUUAAAAAAAAUGGGAGGAAUAUCAACUCUUUCAGCCCCAAAACACUUGCACAAUCAUCCGACAUUAGCAUCCCAAAAUAAUUCAAGAAUCUUAAACCAAACUAAUGACAAAAUUUCAUCAGUCAAGUUCAAUCCCGCUUUCAGAUCAUCAAGAAAAGAGAACCCAUUUUCUUGUUUUGCUUUAGAUGCUUCGAGGGAGUCUAUGCCGCCUCUGGUGGUGGUUGGAUCAGCCAAUGCAGAUAUAUAUGUGGAGAUUGACAGAUUGCCUAAGGAGGGUGAGACUAUAUCUGCAAAAACUGGGCAAACAUUGGCAGGUGGUAAAGGAGCCAAUCAGGCAGUGUGUGGGGGCAAAUUGGCGUAUCCAACUUACUUUUUGGGGCAAGUGGGGGACGAUGCUCAUGGGAAGUUGAUCACUGAGGCACUUGAGGGUGGUGGAGUGUUUCUUGAUUAUUUGAGUAGACUGGAUGAUGUUCCCACUGGGCAUGCCGUGGUUAUGCUGCAAGCUGGUGGGCAGAAUUCUAUUAUUAUUGUUGGGGGAGCUAAUAUGGCUUGUUGGCCUGAGACUCUGCCUGAGGAGGAUCUGGAGGUCGUUAAGAACGCUGGGAUUGUUUUGCUUCAGAGGGAGAUUCCUGAUUCUGUUAACAUUCAGGUUGCAAAGGUUGCUAGGAAUGCACAUGUCCCAGUCAUCUUGGAUGCAGGUGGAGUUGAUGCACCAAUCCCCAUAGAGCUACUUAGUUUUGUUGAUAUUUUGAGUCCAAAUGAGACUGAGCUUGCUCGUCUGACGAACAUGCCAACAGAAACGUUUGAACAGAUCAGUCAAGCUGUGAAAAAAUGCUAUAAAAUGGGUGUUAAGCAAGUUCUUGUGAAACUUGGAGAUAAAGGGUCUGUUCUUUUUACUGAAGGAGCAGAACCAAUUAAACAACCCAUCAUAUCAGCUUCAAAAGUAAUUGAUACAACUGGAGCUGGUGAUACUUUCACUGCUUCUUUUGCUGUUGCUCUUGUAGAGGGAAAAUCCAGAAAGGAAUGCUUGAGAUUUGCUGCUGCAGCUGCUUCACUUUGUAUUCAAGUAAAGGGAGCUAUUCCAAGCAUGCCUGACAGAAAAUCAGUUUUGGAUCUUCUUCACUCCCUUUGAGGACGUUCCUUUUUGUAUCUUAGUGCAUCUUGCUUAUAAAUAAGAGGGAUUGAGUGAUAGGGAGAUUAAAAGGGAGAAAGAAAAUUACAGGAUAGAAAAGAUGUCAAGAACAUGCAAAAAUACAAUCAAUAUCUAGCUAGGAGACAAGACUGGAGGUCUGGAUCGAGUUUGAAAACAGAGGGCUUUAAACUCUUUCCCCUGACUUAACAUACUGCCCCUCAAGAGGAAUGGUAUUGUGUAGAUAAAGGCCGGCACUUCAACUGUUCUUAAUUCAGGAAGCUGGAGUGUUUCAGUGUGCUUCUGAGUAUAAAGCCAACAAAUUGAUCAUUUGAUUAUUUAAGACUUUAUGAGAGUAUGUAAAUAACACACCUAUCCUUUUCUUACCACCAUGAUGUCAUUUCUUUUAGAUUUUUCAUGUAGUUCGAAACAUUUAUGUUGUACAAACAGUGUGACAAGAAUGUUAGUGAUCCGACAAACUAAAAAAUUAUAUUUUUAUGAUCAUCCAAUUUAUAUUUUUAUUUCUAUUUCAGAGUUGCAUCUGUAAUUGUUAUAAAAAUUAAUAGAAUACUUGUCCUACUUGAUAGAAUUUGUGACUAUAACCUGGCUACCGGGACUUUCUGUAAUAUUUAGCCAAUGUUUAGAAGUAGCUUAAUUCUGUAAUAUUUCUUCUCAUGGUUUUAAGCUGUUGAGAUAUGUGAACUUCUGAUUUUUCGAUCAUAUGUCCUAUAUUGACUACUUGAGUUGCAUAGUUGAUUAAAUGUUCUCGUGUAUGGAAACUAGAGCUUGCCUAUAAAAAAUUAUGCUAUCUUAGCAUAGUAUUGUUUCACCGUCUCUAUUGAUUGAGCUGAUGACCAAUGCUCAUGCCCUAGUGGCUCUUCUACUUGUUAGGUGCUGGAGGAUUUAGUCCCUCAUCCGUUUUUAUUGAUCUCUCUCUGUCCCUUCAAUAUGCAAACCGUCUCUUGCGAAUUGUUUAUUGUUUAAAGAUAGUAAUGAAUUUAUAUUUAUUUGUAUAACACACUAAUAUCAAAGCAUUCACAACCUUUAUUGAAUUUUUAUUUACCAUGGUAGUUUAUAGCAUGGCUACAACAACGAAUCAACAUCGAUACCGACGACAACAGUUAGGUUUAUUUUGGACGAUGAUCAUGCAAGCGAUUGUGAUAUAUAAUGAACUUAGGUGUCGUGCACGACAUCUUCCAAGAGCUCCUCAUACAAAUUGAAAUUCUGAAAGAGAAAUAACACUUACACGAAUGUUUGGCACGAGUGAUACAAUAUGUCGUGAUCUCCUUAGGAUGAAAAUAGGUCCAUUUCCAAGAUUAUGUGCUCGUUUGCGAACCUAUGGAUUGGUUGAUAGGAAAUACGUUCGAAUUGAGGAACAAGUCGCAAUUUUUUUGAAUACAGUCGGGCAUGACCAACGUAAUCGCGCUGGACGUUUCACUUUCUUUCGCUCUGGUCAAACAGUGAGCUUUUACUUUCACAGAGUCUUACACUCUUGUCUUGGACUGUAUAGAGAUGUUGUGACUAAUGCCACUCCUCAUAACUCACCAUACGAAAAAGAAAAUGUGCAGCCAUGGUACUCCUUUUUCCAGGUUAGUGGUUUGUAGUUAUUUCGACAUAUUUCUUAAAACUUCAAUAUACACAUUUAUUUUGAAACGUAUUCUUUUUUAAAGGAUGCCGUAGGAGCAAUCGAUGGUACACAUAUUGCUGCGUAUGCGUCUUUAGAGGAGCAAGGUAAAUAUCGCAAUAGAAAACAAGUGAUCUCCCAAAAUGUUUUAGUAGCUUGCACAUUUGAUAUGAAAUUUACUUACGUGCUUGCCGGUUGGGAGAGAUCCGCACAUGAUGGUCGAUUGUUACGGAGUGCAAUAUUACGCCAAGGACAUAAGCUAACAAUUCCUGUUGGUAAAUAUUAUCUUGUUGACGUUGGCUUCCCAUCGGUUUCGAGUUUUCUUGCACCAUAUCGUAGGACUCGUUAUCAUCGUAGAGACAUUGAAGGUCAACGUCCUGAAAGUAGUAAGGAGUUGUUCAAUUUUCGACAUUCAUCUCUACGUAAUGUUAUUGAGCGUACAAUUGGUUUCUGAAGAAAAGAUUUGCAUAUUUGAGACAUCAACCCUAUCACGACAUUGACACACAAGCAAAGAUAGUCCUUGCCUGUUCUGCCAUCCACAACUUCUUAAGAAUUGAUGACGUUGAAGAUGUUUGUGAGGAGGACGACUUAGAUAGUAGUGAUGAUGAGGUUAACCCUACGCAUGUUGAUGUACCUGAAGAUGAAACUCCAAAUGCUGACAUAUCUUUCACAAAUCAGGAAGUGUGGUCUAAUAAGAGGAAUGCGAUUGCUGAUUUAAUGUGGGCUGAUUAUCUUCCCAAUCAGAAUGCGGGAAUUGAUGUUGCUUGAAAUCUGAAUUUUUUUUUCCUUUUUUUCUUGUGGUGUUUUUUUUUUAUUUUUUUUUAUCUUUUUAUGUAAUGGAUUCAUACUUACUAGACUUUCAUCUGUAGUAAUUACUUGAAUUGAAGACGUAUUGACAUGAA